rnacentral:tRNA from 1 species
GGACGGUUAGCUCAGCUGGUAGAGCACUGCCUUCACACGGCAGGGGCCACAGGUUCAAGUCCUGUACCGUCCA